rnacentral:misc_RNA from 1 species
CUCGUAUUCUCCUUGUUGGCUAAAUAUAAGCUCACAUUCUUUGCUUCCCACUUGCUUGGACUGAAGUUCUUUGUCUUGACGAGAUCGAAUUUCGGGACUACCAGCAAUAAUACUAGAAGAAGGGAACCAUCUUUGUGUAUUCCACCAGUGGGUAAGCCAGGGGGUGUAGUGAGCAACAUGAACUGCCCACUGAUCCCGCCGAAACUGUUGG